GGACUACUAGGGUUUCUAAUCCUGUUUGCUCCCCACGCUUUCGCGUCUCAGCGUCAGUACCGUCCCAGAGAGCCGCUUUCGCCACGGGUGUUCCUCCUGAUAUCUGCGCAUUUCACCGCUACACCAGGAAUUCCACUCUCCUCUUCCGGACUCUAGCCUUACGGUUUCCACCGGCGUCUCGAGGUUGAGCCUCGAGUUUUCACAACGGACCUGUAAAGCCGCCUACACGCUCUUUACGCCCAAUAAAUCCGGACAACGCUUGCCCCCUACGUAUUACCGCGGCGGCUGGCAC
rnacentral:rRNA from 1 species